ensembl:lncRNA
AUGAGCUUCACAGGUAACUGGAGCAGCAGAAGUCCUCAGCUUGUCUUGUCUUCUCCCCAGGCCCUGACCGGGGCAGUCAGCACCAUUAAGUUCCUCUCUGAGGCUUUCCUGGGUCGCCACUUCGAGGCCGUGGAGUUGGAGGGCAGCGAGCCUGAGCCAGGAGACCUCUUCCCGUUCAGGCUGUUGUCCCCCACCGGACGCUGUGCGGGGCCCACGUGGGUGUGUACUGUGGCCACGGGGAGAUCAUCCACUUUGAAGGUGAGCAUCUCCGGCUGGGACACCAGUGGGUGGGGCAACGAGAACAAAAACCGGGUUCCAUGCUGGAGGUGCGGGUCUCUGAAGAUGGGCGACCCGGCACGGCACGCAGGGUGCAGGGCUCUGGGCCCCCAGGGCCUCGGAGAUUUGGCUGCANGCGAGAACAAAAACCGGGUUCCAUGCUGGAGGUGUGGGUCUCUGAAGAUGGGCGACCCGGCACGCAGGGUGCAGGGCUCUGGGCCCCCAGGGCCUCGGAGAUUUGGCUGCAGGAUCAAGGCUGAUCUGCGCCCACUGGGCGACCCCUGCAGGGAGGAAUGUCGCAGGCCAAGGGCCUCACCCGUUUCUGGGCUCCUAUGAAGGCAUCGUAUCCAAACAGGGGCAGCGCCCAAUGCUGCGCUCCCGCUCACUGUGGCGUGCGCUGCGUAGACGUGGGGGCGUGGACCGCGUGGCUCUGGAGCGCCGCAUGCGGGAGGCAGUGGAUGCGGACCCGCCCCCAUAUCACCCCCACGAGCAGCAACUGCNGCUGUGGCGUGGACCGCGUGGCUCUGGAGCACAGCAUGUGGGAGGCAGUGGAUGCGGACCCGCCCCCAUAUCACCCCCACGAGCAGCAACUGCGUGCACUUUGCGCGGAGUCCGCUGGGCCGCAUGCCCAUCCUGGACCCCCUGCAAAUAGAUAGCGGUCCUAUUAACUCGGUGAGUGCUGCCCAGCUACCCUUGCACCACCUCACCUCACCUCCCAAGCCAGUUAACAAAUGCUGCUAACCAGUGUGCUCCUGCAAAAUUCACACUUUCCCUCCCAGCCCGGGCCACGUUCCUCAAGCACAAGGUCCACUUUACUCUGGCAGACC